GCUUACAGCUAUACCACCGUGAACAUGCCCUAUCUCAUCUGAUCUCCAAAGCUAAGCAGGGUUGGGGAGGGUUAGUAUUUAGAUGAGAGACUGUCUGGGAAUACCAGGUGCUGUAAGCU
ensembl:rRNA 5S_rRNA 5S ribosomal RNA